UGCCGGUGACAAACCGGAGGAAGGUGGGGAUGACGUCAAAUCAUCAUGCCCCUUAUGACCUGGGCUACACACGUGCUACAAUGGACGGUACAAAGAGCUGCAAGACCGCGAGGUGGAGCUAAUCUCAUAAAACCGUUCUCAGUUCGGAUUGUAGGCUGCAACUCGCCUACAUGAAGCUGGAAUCGCUAGUAAUCGCGGAUCAGCAUGCCGCGGUGAAUACGUUCCCGGGCCUUGUACACACCGCCCGUCACACCACGAGAGUUUGUAACACCCGAAGUCGGUGGGGUAACCUUUUUGGAGCCAGCCGCCUAAGGUGGGACA
rnacentral:rRNA from 1 species